UUUUCAGUCAAACUUUAAAGCUGCUGGCAUGUGAACCAGAUUUGCUCUCACUGUAGCUGGGAAGAUGUUUUGUUUAAGAUUAAGAUCAUAGCAGCAGAAUAUAACAACAGAAAUCACAUCCUGUUUUACAGGUUACUGUGAGUCAAACAACAGAUUGGGCAAGAGUCGAUCCAGCAGGUAGGCUUGCAGGGACAAGUCCUAAAAUAACAUCUGACAGCGCACAGCUUCCCUUUUCUACUUUCGUCUUCUUCUUUCUGAGACUACAUUUCAGUGUCUAGACUUCCUGAGUUUGAACCUUCAUAAACUACGGAAAAAACCCCAACAAAACAGGAAAACCCCCAGCAGAAAGUGGAGCAGAAUGUGUUCGGAACGUGGCAGAGGUCCAGAGACUCCCAAAGUGGGUGUGAGUGAGUUCCUCACCCCCUGGAGGACUUGGAAGCUGUCGCCAGAGGGCUGCAGGUCUUGAUCUGAAUCCACACCAACCCUGCAACACGGGAGACAAAGCAACAACACUUCUGUCACUUCUGUUUAACUUAUUGCUUAGCAAUAAGUUACGAGACGUACUCGUAUCCUUGCACACCAAAGUGCUGAGGUGCUGAACCUUGUUCCCCAAGACGCAGACCAACAUCAGCAUUUAACCCAAAGCAAGUUAGAGACACAAGCUGAAAAGUGUUCAACCUCAGCAGGCCGAUUCUCAAGAGGGCGCUUUUAUUUUCAGCUCACUCCAAUCCAUCUGGACAGAUGCCAAGGGAGAGACACGUAACCUGUCAUGGAUAUGUUUUAAAUCCCACCCGAUCCUGCCUGCACCGCGGAACGUCCGACUGGUGUGUGUGGUUAUCUUUAAAACCCCUCCAGGACUGUCACCGGGAGGAAAUGGGCUUUCUGGAGCGGUUCUGUCACCUGAUAUGCAGCCAGGAGAGCAUGGGAGUGGUUCCCCCACCGAACACCCAGACGGUGAAGAAGACGAUCAGCA